AAUAGUGGCAGAUUAGUUUUCUGUUGCUCAGCUAAUCGAUUAAUCCACUAAUUGUUUCCUCUCUAGAAUAUAAAAAUCGCAGUUCUUGUGCUAUUUGCAGUAAGUAAUGAUAGCACUGCACUUUUGGCCUUAAAACAGGUUUAUUAUCUCUAAUGUGGGGAUAUCUCUGAAACUACUAAUUAAAUAAAACGUUGUUUAUGUUCACUGGGUUUGGUACUUGUUACUAUGAUUUACCCUAUGCUAUGAAUUUGGGUCAUAACGCUUAAAAAUGUGUUCACUGACAUGAGUUUAGGUUUACCUCACCACUCACGACUACAAAAUUCACGUGCUCCCUCUUCUCCCUCUUUGUUCUGCAGGAACCCACCAGACCGCCUGUUGUUGUUUUUUUUAGCAGUUUAUGAAUGAAUAUAAACCCCCUUUUAGAUGUGAUGAUUGCUGUCGCCCUGCAGCCCAGCUGGACGGAAUGGGAGCGGCUCGAUGAAGACGUGAUUACACGGCAGUGAUAGCCUACUAACGAUGGAGGGAUUCACUGGUUGACGCAACUGCCUCUCGCCACCACUAUCUCCAGCAGACACACCCCACCGGCAGUCAGACACUCAGGAGACGGGAGCUGGACCAGAGGAGGACAGUGGUGACACACGCCAACAAGAGAUGGUAGUGAUGCCUUCAAGUGCUGCUCGAACUGUGAGGCUGGCCGGGGGAAAUACUGUUCACAGAAAAGUGCCUCAAGCCUCUGGAUCAUCACCCCGUGAAGGAAGAUGUAGUCAGGCCACUACAUCAGUCGAUUGGUGACCUGCAUCCAGUGUGAAGUUCCGCAUCCUGAGAAAUCUUGGAUUACAAACUAUGGUUAACUGAGGAUCUUAUGUCAAGAUUAGUGUGAAGUUGAAGCUUAUUGCCACCACGACAGGGCUGAUAAGAAUCCAGGCAGUCUGCCAUAUUGUUGUGUUCUGCAUCAACAUAAAUCAAAGGAGGGUUAGAGGGUUUGCAGGGAUGGUGUGACAGAUAAACGCAACCAAACAUAUGUUACCCACUUUUAUAUAAAGAAAUGCAGUUUUACCCAAACACCUUUUCAAGUUUACAUGAAUCUUAAUAAGUCAAUAUUAGAUAUCCAGACAGGUGACAAAUUAAAGGAAAAACCUGAAUAAAAGGGAGGAGAACAUAUCAGAUUCAGAUGCUUCCAUACAGGGCAUGAGGGCUCACUGAAAGGUUAGAUGAGUAUGAAAAUGAUGUGAAUCAUAUGCUAUGGCCUGCACAGUCACCUGAUCUCAACUCACCUGAACACCUAUGGCGGAUUUUGUUGUGUUAGACAGUGCUCUCUACCAUAAUUAUCAAAACACCAAAUGAGGGAGAAUGGUGUUCAUCCCUCCAGUUGAGUUUCACAGACUUCUGUGCCAAGAAGCAUUGAAGCUGUUCUGGAGGCUAAUGGUAGCCCAUGUUGUGACCAAUUUGUAGUAUAUAAUGUCAAGUAAACAUAAUGUUUUGAAGAGAAAUGAAAGGAUGAAUUCAUGCUAUUCUAGAAGAGUAUUUUUUGGGGAGGCUUUUCCUGAGGAACGUCAACAACAGCAGUUCACAGUUUAAAACAGUUUAAUUUACAAAUCAAUAUCUGACUAUACAUGUUUAAACUGGCAUAGCUUGCAUAAUUUCCAUACUACAUACAAUAGUGUGAACACCACAAUUUCGCAUUCUGCAGAAUAAUGAACUCUGUCUCAUAUCAGGAAUAUUCAUUUGGCAAAUUCCCUUCAGACCAAGCCUGAUCUCAACAUUACUGUAAUGUAUUAUGGACAAUAGUGUUCAUUAUCCCAUAAACGCACAAUUACCCAUUUAGUUAUUUUACUUUUUCUGUUGAAAAAAGGCUUCUCAUGCACUUUCAGGCCCUUUGUGCCUCUGUAUGUGUGUGCAUGUGUGUGUGUGUGUGUGUGUGUGUGUGUGUGUGUGUGUGUGUGUGUGUGUAACCUUGACAGAGAAAGCUAAGCUUCACUGAGUGCCUGCAAGCACUGUGCUAUCUUUAGCUUUUGUUGAAGCUUUUACCAUAGGCCUCCUCCUACUCUUCCCACUCUUCCUCCUCUUCCUCCAUUCCCCUCAGCCCACUCACUGUUGGCUGCACAUGCAAACAUGCACACUUAUGCAUGCUUGCACACAACCAAAUCUCCUACACACACGCUACUGUAACAUACAUAUGCACACUGUAUAACUGUUACUGGGCAGAUUAGAUGAAGUAACCUACUUCUAGGAUAAAAACAUGAGCCCGAUGCUUGUUUUUUGCUGCAGAGCGAAAGACUGACUCUUGUUCCCUGAGCGGCCCUGAUUCCUGCCUGAAGGCAAGUUAUAAGCCACGGGCCUCACAGGAUACACUCUUGUAUUCUUAUUGGCCAAGAAAUGUAUUAAAUUCAGUCAGUAGUACACUCACAGACUAUAAACUAUUAAUAAAUAAUUUGCCCCAAACCAAACUCUCCAUAGACCAAUUAUUAUUUGUUUUUAAUGGCCCAGUGCCUCUGCUUCUUACAGUAGUCUAUAUUUAUGUUGCAUAUUACGCACAUGGGCUAUUGUUAGUAAUUAUGUGAAAUGCAUUACUAGUUAUCUGAUUGUUGAUACAUAUUUCAGCUUUUAAUUAGCCAUUCACAUGCUGCUGCGGAGCAUGUGGAUUUUGUACUAUUACUGCCCAAUGUUUUGAAUAUUUUCCGAGAAAGCACUUCUGAUUUUACAGUAAUUGUGGCAAAAACAAACGCAGCUCCUGGUAGGGGAUCAAAUACAACAGUAUAAUCAAAUUUUUCUAAUCAAACAAUCCCAAAAUAGCUUGGUCAGUCAACUCAGUUAAUCAUGUUAAAUGCUGCCAUACUGAGGCUAAAGUGAGGACAGAGAAACAUCAGCUUCAGGUUACGUGGCCAAACUAAUCUAAUCAAUUCAAUUCAAUUUUAUUUAUAUAGCGCCAAUUCAUAACAGAAGUUACUUCAGUGCACUUUUCCUAUAGAGCAGGUCUAGACCGUACUCUUUAUAAUAUUAUUUACCAAUCAGAUUGGUUUGUACUGAAGGGUCAGUCCCCAUGUGGAUUUGGUGUUUGUAAACAUGCACAACCUCUUUCUCAUGGUACAUUUAUAUUUGUUAGAAACUAUUUUGGAAAACUGUAACUGAGAAGAGGUCAGGUUACGACUGCAUGAACUGCACAGACUGUUAAAUUCCAACUUUCAUUUUUCUCACUUACAUGAUUGAAAAUAGUUUUUUGCUUUGUCAUGAUGCUUCUUUCAAGCCCAGGUACAGAAGUCAGAAGAUGAACAAAAUAAUAAGAACACCCUACAACAUAAUAAAUAAAUAUAAUAAUAAUAAAUCUUACCUUUAAAUCUUAUACUGAUAUUUUCAGUGGCUUCCCUCCUUUAUACAAUGGAUCAAGGCGGUUAUGACAUGUCUUCACUAUAUUAGAUAUAGAUAUGAUAAGCCUUUAUUGAUUCCCAGAGGGGACAUUCUGGUGUUGCAGCAGCACAAGGACAGAAAUAAGUAGAUAAAUACAUAAAUAAAAAAUUCUAAGUAUAGAAAAUAAGAAUAUAAAUAAAAUAGAAACUAUACAAGAGCAAUUUAACACAAAAUUACAAAGCAAGCAGUGUACAUACGGUACCCAGGACCAGUGUUGUACUUAAACUAAUGCAAUGCAGUCUCAAUCGAAGUGACAUAAUGGUGUAGAAUUGUACAGUUCUGUGGGUUUAAAUAAAGUUUGGCUACACAGCGUGUCCCACUGUGGGUCAGUGAUGUUUAAAUAAAGCUGGAAACAGAGAUAAGUUAUAUAUAAUAAUAUAAAAAGAAAAGAAAAUACUGAAAAUAGGGAGAUUUGUAGGACGACUUUAGGAGCAACCUGAGAUUCUGAGAUAUUUUGUCCUGGAUGUGAAUAAAUGGAAGGUAAUAAGUUUAAUAUUCAAACCUCUCUGUAUCAGUCAUCAUACUGUUCAUCUACUUGUCAUCAGCUGAUCAAGCACAUCUCUCCUCCCAGCGUGUGAAAAUUACCUGGUAACUAUUCAUGCAUUCUUAAUAUCCAUUCAAUCAUGUCAGUGUGAGAUUGUCUAAUAAUAGUCAUUUUACACUGCAGAAUGAGAGUUAUUGGUGUCAGCGUGCACCUGUAAUUGUAUCCUCCCCCUCUCUUCCUCUCUCUUCCUCUCUCUGUUUCUGCAUUGCAGUGCCUGAAGCUGUCAAGAGAGCAUAUGCACCGUGUAUCAUUGCUGGCCUCUGCCUGUCAUCUCUGCCCCUGUGCACAGACCACCAGGCAACACAUCGAGUAAUACGAUACACACUUCCUCUGUCCUCCCGCUUCACCUUCUGAGCUGUUGUCCCAUGACACAUGCUGAGCUGUGAGCUUUACACUGCAGCUGACAGUGAUGAGAAAGUAUUGCUUUUGCCCUUUGCUGCUUCUUCGCUUCUAGGAACAGAACAUUUUUAUGUGACACUGAUCACGAGGUUCUCGAUGUUUAAAUAAAUGGUAAAAAGAUCAGA